GAGUUUGAUCCUGGCUCAGAUUGAACGCUGGCGGCAGGCCUAACACAUGCAAGUCGAACGGUAACAGAAAGCAGCUUGCUGCUUUGCUGACGAGUGGCGGACGGGUGAGUAAUGUCUGGGAAACUGCCUGAUGGAGGGGGAUAACUACUGGAAACGGUAGCUAAUACCGCAUAACGUCGCAAGACCAAAGAGGGGGACCUUCGGGCCUCUUGCCAUCGGAUGUGCCCAGAUGGGAUUAGCUUGUUGGUGGGGUAACGGCUCACCAAGGCGACGAUCUCUAGCUGGUCUGAGAGGAUGACCAGCCACACUGGAACUGAGACACGGUCCAGACUCCUACGGGAGGCAGCAGUGGGGAAUAUUGCACAAUGGGCGCAAGCCUGAUGCAGCCAUGCCGCGUGUAUGAAGAAGGCCUUCGGGUUGUAAAGUACUUUCAGCGGGGAGGAAGGGAGUAAAGUUAAUACCUUUGCUCAUUGACGUUAC
rnacentral:rRNA from 1 species